rnacentral:rRNA from 1 species
GACGAACGCUGGCGGCGUGCUUAACACAUGCAAGUCGAACGGAAAGGCCCUGCUUGCAGGGUACUCGAGUGGCGAACGGGUGAGUAACACGUGGGUGAUCUGCCCUGCACUUCGGGAUAAGCCUGGGAAACUGGGUCUAAUACCGGACAGGUGCCAUUUUUAGUGUGAUGGUUGGAAGGUUUUUUCGGUUUAGGAUGAGAUCGCAGCGUAUCAGCUUGUUGGUGGAGUUAUGGCCUACCAAGGCGGCGACGGGUAGCCGGCCUGAGGGAGUGGACGGCCACAUUGAGACUGAGAUGCGGCCGAGACUGCGACGGGAGGCAGCAGUGGGGAAUAUUGCACGAUGGGCGCAAGGCUAAUGCAGCGGCGCCGCGUGGGGGAUGACGGCCUUCGGGUUGUAAACUCCUUUCGCUAGGAACGAAGCAUUUUGUGACGGUACCUAGAUAAGAAGCACCGGCUAACUACGUG